rnacentral:miRNA from 4 species
ACAUGCUUCUUUAUAUCCCCAUA